UGUCCAAUGCGGGAUUCGAACCCGGGUCAUUGCUGUCUAAAACCAACAGUUUAUACCACUACACCACCAAAC